UACGUAGGGUGCGAGCGUUGUCCGGAAUUAUUGGGCGUAAAGGGCUCGUAGGCGGUUUGUCGCGUCGGGAGUGAAAACUCAGGGCUUAACCCUGAGCCUGCUUCCGAUACGGGCAGACUAGAGGUAUGCAGGGGAGAACGGAAUUCCUGGUGUAGCGGUGAAAUGCGCAGAUAUCUGGAGGAACACCAGUGGCGAAGGCGGCUUCCUGGCCUGCAACUGACGCUGAGACGCGAAAGCGUGGGGAGCGAACCGG
rnacentral:rRNA from 1 species